CUCGUACAUAUCAAGCGCAUGGCAAGACGCCCUCAACCGACCAACCAAAAAAAAAAAAAAUAACCACUGUCCAGCAAUAAAUCAUAAAUCAUAUACUGCUGAUCCAGCGCAGCACGUGCCCAAGAAACCAAUACGCACAAUAAACUGUUGCAACACGUCCUUGCUUUGGCUUACCCUCUCCACAUUUGUCGCCUUGCAAAUAUCCCCCCCGAUUUCCCACUCUCCAUACCAACCGCUGUAAUACCAAGCAAACGCCAACACACGACGGCCAAGAUGAUAUGGCGUAGCGGGGGCCUUGUUGGAUGUGGGUCAGGUGAAGACGCUGUGAGAUGUAGGAAGUAGACGCUCGUCAGCGUCAGCCCGCUGGUCGAUAAUGGUGAAUCGAACAAUCAUCAAUCAAUCACCUUUUUAAUGCGUUCUUUCACUGGAAUUGAAAAAAGACAACAUCAUCUUGACACGUCGGGGUGAGGAGAGGUCAGUAUUUAAGACAUGUCUCUCUUAUCUGCAAGUGCCAAUACCUCUUUCCAUCUUUUUAUCUUUUUUGGCCAUUAGGACCAGUGUUUUGGCCAUUAGAACCGGUGGGCUCGUCGACAAAACCAAAACACUGGACAUUUUAGACAAGGUACUAUUAAUGACAUUUCUUUAUAAUUUUUUCACGACUUUUUUUUCUUUUCCUUCUUUCUUCCUCCUAAAAGUCAAGAACAGUCGUGGCAAGUUUUGCUCUCUCUCCAAAUUCUCAAAAUAGAGGGAGACAGAUUAAAAAAAGGGAAAAGACAGAACGAAAGAAAAAAAAGACCAUCAAGAUCGAAAAGAUCCAGGUGUUGUGGAAAAAAGAAACAGGGAAUAGAAUAAAAUUGAAAGGACAGGAUGAAGAAAAAAAAAAAACGACAGGUUAUUCCCAGAAUAAGAUUACUGGUCCCAAAUCCUAAUCAUGCGCUAGGCAACGAGGUAAGUAAUAUAUAUAAAAAAAAGCCAAUGUACUUUUGUAUCUCCUCAUUCCCCCUUUUUUUUUUCCUUUACCACUUGUGGGCUUUGACUGUUUGACUGUUUGACUUGACUCGGACUUGAUUUGCUUUAAAAACUUGUUGAUGAUAAGAAUCUUUUCCAUGCCCUUUUUUAUGCAUCGACUUGCAUCUUGUC
rnacentral:sRNA from 1 species